GACGGACGCUGGCGGCGUGCUUAACACAUGCAAGUCGAACGGAAAGGCCCUGCUUUUGUGGGGUGCUCGAGUGGCGAACGGGUGAGUAACACGUGAGUAACCUGCCCUUGACUUUGGGAUAACUUCAGGAAACUGGGGCUAAUACCGGAUAGGAGCUCCUGCUGCAUGGUGGGGGGUGGAAAGUUUCGGCGGUUGGGGAUGGACUCGCGGCUUAUCAGCUUGUUGGUGGGGUAGUGGCUUACCAAGGCUUUGACGGGUCGCCGGCCUGUGAGGGUGACCGGCCACAUUGGGACUGAGAUACGGCCCAGACUCCUACGGGAGGCAGCAGUGGGGAAUAUUGCACAAUGGGCGGAAGCCUGAUGCAGCAACGCCGCGUGCGGGAUGACGGCCUUCGGGUUGUAAACCGCUUUCGCCUGUGACGAAGCGUGAGUGACGGUAAUGGGUAAAGAAGCACCGGCUAACUACGUG
rnacentral:rRNA from 1 species